rnacentral:rRNA from 1 species
GAUGAACGCUGGCGGCGUGCCUAAUACAUGCAAGUCGAGCGAACAGAUGAGGAGCUUGCUCCUCUGACGUUAGCGGCGGACGGGUGAGUAACACGUGGAUAACCUACCUAUAAGACUGGGAUAACUUCGGGAAACCGGAGCUAAUACCGGAUAAUAUAUUGAACCGCAUGGUUCAAUAGUGAAAGACGGUUUUGCUGUCACUUAUAGAUGGAUCCGCGCCGCAUUAGCUAGUUGGUAAGGUAACGGCUUACCAAGGCAACGAUGCGUAGCCGACCUGAGGGGGUGAUCGGCCCCACUGGAACUGAGCAACGGCCCAGACCCCUACGGGAGGCAGAAGGAGGGAAUCUUCCGAAAUGGGCGAAAGCCUGACGGAGCAACGCCGGGUGAGUGAUGAAGGUCUUCGGAUCGUAAAACUCUGUUAUUAGGGAAGAACAAUGUGUAAGUAACUAUGCACGUCUUGACGGUACCUAAUCAGAAAGCCACGGCUAACUACGUG